UACGGAGGGAGCUAGCGUUGUUCGGAAUUACUGGGCGUAAAGCGCACGUAGGCGGCUUUGUAAGUUAGAGGUGAAAGCCCGGGGCUCAACCCCGGAAUUGCCUUUGAGACUGCAUCGCUAGAAUUGUGGAGAGGUAAGUGGAAUUCCGAGUGUAGAGGUGAAAUUCGUAGAUAUUCGGAAGAACACCAGUGGCGAAGGCGACUUACUGGACACAUAUUGACGCUGAGGUGCGAAAGCGUGGGGAGCAAACAGGG
rnacentral:rRNA from 1 species